GCCUCUGUAGCUCAGUGGUUAGAGCACUGGUCUAGUAAACCAGGUGUCGAAAGUUCGAGUCUCUCCAGAGGCU
rfam:Nematostella vectensis strain CH2 x CH6 NEMVEscaffold_1805_Cont38778, whole genome shotgun sequence.